rnacentral:rRNA from 1 species
AUGUCGACUUGGAGGUGUGCCCUUGAGGCGUGGCUUCCGGAGCUAACGCGUUAAGCGACCGCCUGGGGAGUACGGCCGCAAGGGUAAAACUCAAAUGAAUUGACGGGGGCCCGCACAAGCGGAGGAGCAUGUGGCUUAAUUCGAUGCAACGGGAAGAACCUUACCUGGGCUUGACAUCCACGGAAGUUUUCAGAGAUGAGAAUGUGCCUUCGGGAACCGCGAGACAGGGGCUGCAUGGUUGUCGUCAGCUCGUGUUGUGAAAUGCUGGGGUAAGUCCCGCAACGAGCGCAACCCUUAUCCUU